GACGAACGCUGGCGGCGUGCUUAACACAUGCAAGUCGAACGAAGAGCGACGGAAGCUUGCUUCUAUCAAUCUUAGUGGCGCACGGGUGAGUAACGCGUAAUCAACCUGCCCUUCAGAGGGGGACAACAGUUGGAAACGACUGCUAAUACCGCAUACGAUCUAAUCUCGGCAUCGAGGAUGGAUGAAAGGUGGCCUCUACAUGUAAGCUAUCACUGAAGGAGGGGAUUGCGUCUGAUUAGCUAGUUGGAGGGGUAACGGCCCACCAAGGCGAUGAUCAGUAGCCGGUCUGAGAGGAUGAACGGCCACAUUGGGACUGAGACACGGCCCAGACUCCUACGGGAGGCAGCAGUGGGGAAUCUUCCGCAAUGGACGAAAGUCUGACGGAGCAACGCCGCGUGAGUGAUGACGGCCUUCGGGUUGUAAAGCUCUGUUAAUCGGGACGAAAGGCCUUCUUGCGAAUAGUGAGAAGGAUUGACGGUACCGGAAGAGAAAGCCACGGCUAACUACGUG
rnacentral:rRNA from 1 species